CAAGCGUUGCAUUCGUAUAAAUUGCUCUCGUAUUCGUUGUGUAAAUAAGCAUCCAAUUCAGCUAACGCAUGAUUCGUAAAUGUCCAAAUACCCUCUCUCUGUCUUAGCCAUCCAUCACGUUCAAACGUAUGUAAGUGAGACUCAAUAACACUAGGUGCCAAUCCCAUUUCUUUUCUCGAUAAUUUUUGGAUUUGCAGAGUCGUUAAUGAAUAUUGGUAAUCAUCACACUUCAUGAUCCAUUCGAUUAUCUUUCUCAUAAGUUCUAUCUGAACAGGAGGGUAAGGAGUAGCCAUUUGGGAUACUGGGUCUCCAGAUAAAUUCUGAAAGUGCAGCGUUAAUCUUCCAUCCAGUUGAUCCUGUACUCGUUUUAUCUUAAAAUCGAAAUUGUGCAAAGAAUUGUUCAAUUCAUUUAUUACAUCUUCUACAGUUGCCGUUUCUCCAUACUGCUCUUGAACAAGUUCACGAACUUGUUCAUUAUCAACACCAGCUGUGCGACACAUUAUAUAUUGAAGAAUGAAUUUAUGCUUGUCAGAUAAUCCAUCUUGUCUCUCUUUCUCCAUACCGUUUAUUCCUUUUUUUGUAUUUCUACUAUUU